GGUUAAGCGAACAAGCGUACACGGUGGAUGCCCUGGCAGUCAGAGGCGAUGAAGGACGUGCUAAUCUGCGAAAAGCGCCGGUAAGGUGAUAUGAACCGUUAUAACCGGCGAUGUCCGAAUGGGGAAACCCGGUGCACUUCGGUGCAUCAUCGUUAGCUGAAUACAUAGGCUAACGAGGCGAACCGGGGGAACUGAAACAUCUAAGUACCCCGAGGAAAAGAAAUCAACCGAGAUUCCCCCAGUAGCGGCGAGCGAACGGGGAACAGCCCAGAGCCUGAAUCAGCUUGUGUGUCAGUGGAACGGUCUGGAAAGGCCGGCGAUACAGGGUGACAGCCCCGUACACGAAGGCACACAGGCUGUGAGCUCGAUGAGUAGGGCGGGACACGUGAUAUCCUGUCUGAAGAUGGGGGGACCAUCCUCCAAGGCUAAAUACUCCUGACUGACCGAUAGUGAACCAGUACCGUGAGGGAAAGGCGAAAAGAACCCCGGCGAGGGGAGUGAAACAGAACCUGAAACCGUGUACGUACAAGCAGUGGGAGCCUUCGUAAGAGGGUGACUGCGUACCUUUUGUAUAAUGGGUCAGCGACUUAUAUUCUGUAGCAAGGUUAACCGUAUAGGGGAGCCGAAGGGAAACCGAGUCUUAACCGGGCGUUAAGUUGCAGGGUAUAGACCCGAAACCCGGUGAUCUAGCCAUGGGCAGGUUGAAGGUUGGGUAACACUAACUGGAGGACCGAACCGACUAAUGUUGAAAAAUUAGCGGAUGACCUGUGGCUGGGGGUGAAAGGCCAAUCAAACCGGGAGAUAGCUGGUUCUCCCCGAAAGCUAUUUAGGUAGCGCCUCGUGAACUCAUCUCCGGGGGUAGAGCACUGUUUCGGCUAGGGGGCCAUCCCGGCUUACCAACCCGAUGCAAACUGCGAAUACCGGAGAAUGUUAUCACGGGAGACACACGGCGGGUGCUAACGUCCGUCGUGAAGAGGGAAACAACCCAGACCGCCAGCUAAGGUCCCAAAGUCAUGGUUAAGUGGGAAACGAUGUGGGAAGGCCCAGACAGCCAGGAUGUUGGCUUAGAAGCAGCCAUCAUUUAAAGAAAGCGUAAUAGCUCACUGGUCGAGUCGGCCUGCGCGGAAGAUGUAACGGGGCUAAACCAUGCACCGAAGCUGCGGCAGCGACGCUUAUGCGUUGUUGGGUAGGGGAGCGUUCUGUAAGCCUGCGAAGGUGUGCUGUGAGGCAUGCUGGAGGUAUCAGAAGUGCGAAUGCUGACAUAAGUAACGAUAAAGCGGGUGAAAAGCCCGCUCGCCGGAAGACCAAGGGUUCCUGUCCAACGUUAAUCGGGGCAGGGUGAGUCGACCCCUAAGGCGAGGCCGAAAGGCGUAGUCGAUGGGAAACAGGUUAAUAUUCCUGUACUUGGUGUUACUGCGAAGGGGGGACGGAGAAGGCUAUGUC
rnacentral:rRNA from 1 species